rnacentral:rRNA from 1 species
UACAGAGGGGGCAAGCGUUAUUCGGAAUUAUUGGGCGUAAAGGGCGCGUAGGCGGCUUUGCAAGUGGCGGGUGAAAUCCCUCGGCUUAACCGAGGAACUGCCUGUCAAACUGCAUGGCUUGAGACCAGGAGAGGUGAGUGGAAUUCCCAGUGUAGCGGUGAAAUGCGUAGAUAUUGGGAGGAACACCAGUGGCGAAGGCGGCUCACUGGACUGGUACUGACGCUGAUGCGCGAAAGCGUGGG